AAAAGUACAGCGUANGGGCUCGCCGCGUUCGAGUCGCCCCUUUGUUUAAGAGCACCUCGCGGUUCCGCGGGAGGCCCGCCCGCUUCGGGGACCCACCACAAACACAUUGCAGUACACAGAAGUACACGUCUGAACUAAACAAAACAUACUAUAUUACAACAUUUCAACGACGGUAUCUCUCUGGUUCUGAGCAUCGAUAGAAGAACGCA
rnacentral:rRNA from 1 species